rnacentral:lncRNA from 1 species
CUAAUAUUCCGACGAUGGAACCUUCAUACUAUAUUAAGUAAAGUAGUUUAAUAUACUGUUACAUAGAUACAAUUACGUUACAUAGUAACAAUAUACAUGUGUUACGGUGGUCGAGAAGUUUAUAUAGGGUUCCAUAUAGGUCAUAUAAGAGACGUCCUACUUUAUUUGCCUGGUCUGACGACUACCCUACAACGGUCGGGUUACGAUGGUCACGACCAGCGAUAUCUCUUUCCGCCGAUUUCGACAACGGUGGUCUUGUCCUUGACGACAGUUGCCGCCAACGAGGAUAGUCCAACAGGAUCACGACGACACCUCACGACCCUACCUGUAGACUACGAUAUCGAUCCAAAGUAUAUCUCUUUGUAUACCAUGCGUAAAAGUACGGUAUAGUACGACGACCGUCAUAUUACUAUGAGAGGUCGUCGCCGGCAAGUUCUAUGUCUCUCUGUCGACGAUGGUCCUCAACUACUUUCGGCGGAUAGAAAUUCGGCUUGUCUAUGAUCCGACAGAUUGCCUCUGCAAUCGCUCAGCACGCGCUGAUCGAGUUGUGGCCGGCACCGACCGACGGCUACGACUCAAGUCGGCGACAAAACCCAGCCGACCGACGCCAUCGACCCAGCCGACCAAGAACCGCCGACAAAAAGACCUCGCCGUGCGCAAACCGAAAGUAAAAAGAUGCGCACAACUUUUUGCACGACGCCAUCGCGAAUACACAACAAGCCGACCUGUCAUUUCGAGUUCUUUGCUUUUAUUUUGUCGUAAAAAUUUGUGCGC